AGAGUUUGAUCAUGGCUCAGAGCGAACGCUGGCGGCAGGCUUAACACAUGCAAGUCGAGCGCCCCGCAAGGGGAGCGGCAGACGGGUGAGUAACGCGUGGGAACGUACCUUUUGGUUCGGAACAACACAGGGAAACUUGUGCUAAUACCGGAUAAGCCCUUACGGGGAAAGAUUUAUCGCCGAAAGAUCGGCCCGCGUCUGAUUAGCUUGUUGGUGAGGUAACGGCUCACCAAGGCGACGAUCAGUAGCUGGUCUGAGAGGAUGAUCAGCCACAUUGGGACUGAGACACGGCCCAAACUCCUACGGGAGGCAGCAGUGGGGAAUAUUGGACAAUGGGCGCAAGCCUGAUCCAGCCAUGCCGCGUGAGUGAUGAAGGCCCUAGGGUUGUAAAGCUCUUUUAACGGGGAAGAUAAUGACGGUACCCGUAGAAUAAGCCCCGGCUAACUUCGUGCCAGCAGCCGCGGUAAUACGAAGGGGGCUAGCGUUGCUCGGAAUCACUGGGCGUAAAGGGUGCGUAGGUGGAUCUUUAA
rnacentral:rRNA from 1 species